rnacentral:rRNA from 1 species
UGCAAGUCGAACGCUGAAGCACCAGCUUGCUGGUGUGGAUGAGUGGCGAACGGGUGAGUAAUACGUGAGUAACCUGCCCUUGACUCUGGGAUAAGCCCGGGAAACUGGGUCUAAUACUGGAUGCUACAUGUCACCGCAUGGUGGUGUGUGGAAAGGGUUUACUGGUCUUGGAUGGGCUCACGGCCUAUCAGCUUGUUGGUGAGGUAAUGGCUCACCAAGGCGACGACGGGUAGCCGGCCUGAGAGGGUGACCGGCCACACUGGGACUGAGACACGGCCCAGACUCCUACGGGAGGCAGCAGUGGGGAAUAUUGCACAAUGGGCGAAAGCCUGAUGCAGCGACGCCGCGUGAGGGAUGACGGCCUUCGGGUUGUAAACCUCUUUCAGCAGGGAAGAAGCCACAAGUGACGGUACCUGCAGAAGAAGCGCCGGCUAACUACGUGCCAGCAGCCGCGGUAAUACGUAGGGCGCAAGCGUUGUCCGGAAUUAUUGGGCGUAAAGAGCUCGUAGGCGGUUUGUCGCGUCUGCUGUGAAAGCCCGGGGCUUAACCCCGGGUGUGCAGUGGGUACGGGCAGACUAGAGUGCAGUAGGGGAGACUGGAAUUCCUGGUGUAGCGGUGGAAUGCGCAGAUAUCAGGAGGAACACCGAUGGCGAAGGCAGGUCUCUGGGCUGUUACUGACGCUGAGGAGCGAAAGCAUGGGGAGCGAACAGGAUUAGAUACCCUGGUAGUCCAUGCCGUAAACGUUGGGCACUAGGUGUGGGGGACAUUCCACGUUUUCCGCGCCGUAGCUAACGCAUUAAGUGCCCCGCCUGGGGAGUACGGCCGCAAGGCUAAAACUCAAAGGAAUUGACGGGGGCCCGCACAAGCGGCGGAGCAUGCGGAUUAAUUCGAUGCAACGCGAAGAACCUUACCAAGGCUUGACAUAUACCGGAUCGUUCCAGAGAUGGUUC